UCCAAAGCGAACUGGUACAGCUAACCAUAAGUUUCUAGUGAACGGGAAACGAGGUUCCCAUCGACCAGCUGUACGAGAUGAAAGCUAAAGCAUGAAUCUGCGUAUAAGACUUGUGUCUUGGUUUUGCUUUUAUCAUUGAUUCAGGUGAAUAAACCUGAAUAAAGCCACAUGCCAUUUAAUCGAUUUAGACUUUUAUCCGUUUUAUGGCACUUUGGGCGUUCAUGAUUUUAGUCCAUUACUGCCAAAUUUUCCGCAAUUAGGAUCCGAGGAAAACGAAUGUCAACAUAGUAGGUCCACUCGCACGCCACUGUGGAACCCCUGUUCAAAAGGCGAGCAAGUCAAAAGUGUCGAAGUUUCACACUGCAGUUACAGUGCAGUACUUGGGCACAGCGUGUCGGCCGUCGGCUGAACUGGUUUCCAUUUCAAACCGUUUGCUGGUGCCUUUGGCAACCCCAGAACACCUUCAACUUCGGCGUCUAUAGAUGGAUCCAGAGGAGUCGCAAAGGUCAUAUUUCUGGCAAUCGCAUCACUACCUUCCAAUAUCGCUCCUAAAGACGGAUCCACAGGUUGGGGAUGGUCGACAGGUAGGGUGUUCUUCGGCGGGUGCUGAUCGUUAGCAUGCAGUUGCUCCGCGACACUGGCCACACCGUCGGAAUUAAAAGCCACUCCACCGGAGCCUGAUGCAGCCACACCCUCGACCUGGGCAGCGGAUUCUGGGUCAAUGGGUACCGACGUGUUGACCUUUAGUAACAGAUUUGAUGGCGCUUUAAUGUUGCCCCCAGAGAUUAGGCCUUCUAUUUCAUCGGAAGCGGAUGGAUCAAUGGCCAAACCCAUCUGCGUGAGGUGAGCAAAGGCAACCGGCGACGUUAUGUUAUUUGUGAAAUCGUGGGAGAUUUCUGGUUCGGGAUCGUUGGGACCAAUGGGUUCAAUGGCGCUCACUGUGCUGGAGGGAAUUGUAAUGGCCUCAGGAAGAAUGGGAAGUAAAGGAUUUGGUUGCGCCGAUGGAUAUGCAGCGGAGGCAGAAGAGUCGGCCGAAAAGAAACGGAUAAGGCCUUCAAUUGGAUCGGAUGCCGUCGGGUCCAGGGGAGCAGGCAGGACCGGCUUACGAGUAUGGUUACCAUACGGAGUCGGCACAUUGUUCCACACUGCAAUAUACAGACUAGAUUAUUAAAAAAAGACUAAAUUUCGUGAUUACAUAACAUAAGGACACUGCUCAUUCUAUCAUAAAGUGCUUCAUGAAAAUAUGAUUAUUGUUUUGCUGUUUAACUUGUACAUCCCUCAUAUACAUAAUCCCCUUUGCAUGGAACAGCGUUGCUGGACUUUUACCUGCCGUGGGCAUUGCAGUCGCUAUACUCGGUCCUUGUACCGGAACUCCAUUAAGGCUGAGUUUCAAUCCACUUUCGGUUGGACUGGACGCCGUGACAUUGAUUCUUGUGUUCAACUGGAUGAUAUCAUUUUGGUCAGACGAGGACGUUAUGAUUCCCAAGGACUGCGUUCCGUCAACAAUAUGAGUUAUCAAUCUGUCGUCGGGAUUCUGCGACAUGUUAUUUGAAUUUACCUAAAAGAUUACAAAGGUGUUGUCGAAUGUGUUGUCAAAUGUGUUGUCGAAGGUGACAAUGUGUCAACGAAUGAAUAACACUAUAGUACUCGUCGAAUGCGUAUUACCGAGCUAGAGUGUGUUUGAUUGAUGACAACUGAUUGGUUAUCCGGUUGAAGAUGAAGUUCCAGAUGGUCGGUGUUGGCGGUUGCCGGUGUUGUGCUGGGAGGUCGGGUGCCCAGAGUAUCCGCCGAGUUAAAGAAGUCUGAUGUCGAUGAUAACGGUACAAUGCCGACCUUUGUUGUUAGUACAUUGGUAUAGUGCAGUAGAUCUUCUGGCAACACUUUGUUGAUUGGAACAUCCGCGUCCGAAGUUUCUGCUGAAAAGAUUUGAUUAGCCGCAGUUUUAGCGUAGAAGAAAACAAUUCGGACGGCCGUAAAAAGGUGAACAGCCCAAACAAAUAUCGAGAAUAUGUUAACUAAUUAUUAAC